UACGUAGGGGGCUAGCGUUGUCCGGAUUUAUUGGGCGUAAAGAGCGUGUAGGCGGCCAGGUAGGUCUGCUGUGAAAACUCGAGGCUCAACCUCGAGACGUCGGCGGAAACCAUCUGGCUAGAGUCCGGAAGAGGAGAGUGGAAUUCCUGGUGUAGCGGUGAAAUGCGCAGAUAUCAGGAAGAACACCCGGUGGCGAAGGCGGCUCUCUGGGGACGGUACUGACGCUGAGACGCGAAAGCGUGGGGAGCGAACAGG
rnacentral:rRNA from 1 species